rnacentral:tRNA from 1 species
GCCUGGCUGGCUCAGUCGGUAGAGCAUGCGACCCUUAAUCUCAGGGUUGUGAGUUCAAGCCCCACAUUGGGUG